UUCUAUUCCAGUGUAGAAACACACGUGUUUGUGGCCUAUUGGCUCAUGGAGACUGAGCUGUGUGGUUUGUAGAGCUGUAGUUGAAUUGUAUUUUGUUGAUUUGGGGCCAGUGCAUAUGUGUCCCUCCUGCCCUCUCUCUGCUCCUGAGCCGACGAGGCUCUGACACAGGAGGGAGAGCCACAUGGAGAAGAGCACCAACACAUUUAAACCUCUUUCCAGUCAAUAUGAACCAUCCUCCAAACCAUUUGACUUCAUUUAAUUCUAUUUCACAAACAAGCACCAGCUUUUAGAUGAGAGCUAAAAGAAAACUCCCUUUGUGUCUGUUCUUAUUUCAGGCUCUUUCUGCUGGGUGUUUGCCAACGCAGGGGGCUGGGCCCACACCAGGGUGGACUUUGAGCUGCUGAGAACAUUUGUGAUGCUUUUCAAAAUGUGCACAGAUGAGUGAGCCCCUGAUGGACGGAUGAUCUUUGGCUCUUUGAAAGGAGCCAGUGUGUUUGUGCUCCAACCCCCACUCUUUAAAGUGGCUCAUAUUUGGAUGUCAAAUAACUUAUGACCUCAUGUUGUUGUGGUUGGGCACUUUUUACUCAGUUUAUUUUUUAUUGUCUGUACUUUUUGUAAUAUAUUUUUAUUCAUACAA